rnacentral:lncRNA from 1 species
CAUGUCUCCCGUCUUCGUGAAACCCAUUUCUUGUCAUCUACUAAUGCUAAGAGGCUCUCUUUUCAUGCAUAUAAGAAGCUCUCCUGCCACAUAAUGCAAGGGCAUCGGUUAAGUCAUAGGUUACAUGAGGGUAAUUGAAUAUUUAGGUGCCAAGCCAGCUUUAAGGGGCCAGAAAAAUAUUUCCUGUGCACAAAAUGGCCCAUAGUAUUCCCUCGAAAUCAAAAGAUGGCUAAUAGAAGUCUAGCACAAACAGAGACAGUAAUUAGUGGCUUCUGGACUGCAAAAACUAGUACUUGGAAUACGUUACAUCAUCAAGAAAUUGCUACCAUAUAUGCAUGGUACAUUAAGAGAAUUUCAAACAAAACUAAUGUCAAAUGAUUGCAUUAACCCGUUAAAUGCUUCAAGGCAUAUGAAAUACGUCAUAUCUUGUGC